rnacentral:snoRNA from 1 species
AAAGCAUCUUAACAGGUCCUGGCUUUACUCGUAGGUGAGGAUUUGGUAGCGGAUGCUGACAGGAAGUGUCUCCCUACUGAUGCCCGCCGGCUCCCCCUUGUGCCGGCCGGGACAUGUGGGGAAGGGGACAGCC